AGCAGCCGCGGUAAUUCCAGCUCCAAUAGCGUAUAUUAAAGUUGUUGUAGUUAAAAAGCUCGUAGUUGAAUUUCGGAAUCAAUAUGUCGGUCGUGCUUCGGUACGUACUGGUAUCAUUGGUUUCUCCUUUCUGACGAACCAUGAUGUCAUUAAUUUGGUGUUAUGGGGAGUUAGGACUGUUACUUUGAAAAAUUAGAGUGUUUAAAGCAGGCUUUAGCUUGAAUACAUUAGCAUGGAAUAAUGAAAUAGGACGUUCGAACCUAUUUUGUUGGUUUCUAGGAUCAACGUAAUGAUUAAUAGGGAUAGUUGGGGGCAUUAGUAUUCAAUUGUCAGAGGUGAAAUUCUUGGAUUUAUUGAAGACUAACUACUGCGAAAGCAUUUGCCAAGGAUGUCUUCAUUAAUCAAGAACGAAAGUUAGGGGAUCGAAGACGAUCAGAUACCGUCGUAGUCUUAACCAUAAACUAUGCCGACUAGGGAUCGGAUGAUGUUAAUUUUUAAUGACUCAU
rnacentral:rRNA from 1 species